rnacentral:rRNA from 1 species
CCUACGGGUGGCAGCAGUGGGGAAUAUUGGACAAUGGGCGAAAGCCUGAUCCAGCCAUGCCGCGUGUGUGAAGAAGGCCUUCGGGUUGUAAAGCACUUUCAGUGGGGAAGAAAGCCUUGGGGCUAAUACCCUCGAGGAAGGACAUCACCCACAGAAGAAGCACCGGCUAACUCCGUGCCAGCAGCCGCGGUAAUACGGAGGGUGCGAGCGUUAAUCGGAAUUACUGGGCGUAAAGCGCGCGUAGGCGGUCUGAUAAGCCGGUUGUGAAAGCCCCGGGCUCAACCUGGGAACGGCAUCCGGAACUGUCAGGCUAGAGUGCAGGCGAGGAAGGUAGAAUUCCCGGUGUAGCGGUGAAAUGCGUAGAGAUCGGGAGGAAUACCAGUGGCGAAGGCGGCCUUCUGGACUGACACUGACGCUGAGGUGCGAAAGCGUGGGUAGCAAACAGGAUUAGAUACCCCGGUAGUC